GAUUAGAUACCCCACUAUGCUUAGCCCUAAACCCAGAUAUUUAACACACAAAAAUAUCCGCCAGAGAACUACGAGCAUAACGCUUAAAACUCUAAGGACUUGGCGGUGCCUUAAACCCCCCUAGAGGAGCCUGUUCUAUAAUCGAUAAUCCACGAUCCACCCCACCAUCUCUUGCCAGUACCGCCUAUAUACCGCCGUCACUAGCCUACCCUAUGAAGGAUAUAAAAGUAAGCAAAACAGCCAACAAUAGCUAAUAAGUCAGGUCAAGGUGUAGCUAACUGAGAUGGAAGAAAUGGGCUACAUUUUCUAAACUAGAAAUUAUCUCACGGAAAGAACCAUGAAACAAGUUCUACAAGCAGGAUUUAGCAGUAAACAAGGAUUAGAAUGCCCAAUUUAAGCCGGUCCUAAGGCACGCACACACCGCC
rnacentral:rRNA from 1 species